AGUGAGAUAGCUGGGUCAAAUGAUGGUUCUAUUCCAAGUUUUCUAAGGAAUCUCCAUACUGCUUUCCAGAGUGGUUACACCAUUUUGCUGUGCCACCAGCAAU
rnacentral:pre_miRNA from 1 species